UUUGUGGCAUUUAACGAUUGGCGAUAUUCACCGUCCGCAGAGGCUUGCACGCUUCUCGACGAUAGAGAACGCACAAGUCCAGAGGCAGUUGCAGGGGCCGCCGAAAUGAAAGUUUGCAGAGCGCAGACAGUAGAAAAACAUGGCCGGCAAAAGAGACCUGCAAAUUGAAAGCAACAUUUGGCGAGAUCGCAUGCAGUAUGCAUUCAAACUACACAGUUGUCCCUGCCAUGAAUUGUUGAUCUUUGAUUUUUUGUAGGCUUCCAGCGGAGCAUGGACAGGUGGCGAUUGGGGGUUUCAAUUUUUCCAAUUUUAAAUUCCAGAGGCUACAUUUUCUUUGUCAUUUUUUGCUCUGGUACCAUCUUGGGUUUGCCUCUGCGAUCCCGUUAACCUUCUUUCGAGAUACGUUGAUAACCCCAAGCUUCAUUGUUGAUCAUGCGCCAGAAUCAGCCUUAGUGCAUUCAUCUCUCGCGCAAAUCCCUUUGUCCUAGUCUCAUCUGGUAACAUUUGGCUAUUAAGGUUAUAGCUGUCUCUGCAUGCUGGUUUCAAGUGGAGGAUCCUGGAAAGCUUUAGGGCAUAGGGUAGAGCGUGAGCCCUAAUUAAAAAUCUUUGUUGCUACUAGUUGGAUCAGUUGGCUCCCCAUCCUUGAUAGGAUACCUCCACAGCCUAAAAGUGUUUGGCAGUUUCUUCUCCUAUUUUCAAAUCCAGAUCUUUGAAUGCAGAGGCUAAAAAUAGUCACAAAAACACAACCAGAAAGCUCAGAAAGCCUACAGAGAAGCUCAGAGCAGCCAAAAAAAGUAUACAAAGAAAUUGAAUGAGAAAAGGCAAAUGAAAUCAAACAGUUCAUUACCAUUGUACUAGUUGUGUACAUAGUUAAUCGACAAACAAUGUUCAAGACAAGAAUCAAUUAACAAUGCUCAAAGAAUAUAUGUCAAUACAUAUACAUAUUUCCUCUUUUUAUACAUAUUUCCUCUUUUUGCUCUGUA